UUGUCCUGGCCUAUGCUUUCCAUGCUCCUCUGCACUCAGUUGUAAGAGGGGUGUCUGCAGGACACACAGUAAUCUCCCUCUCAGUUUAUUAGCGCUGUCCAGAGCACAGGUCUGGCUCUUAAAGGCACCAGAGGACAAU